AUUUCUAACCCCAUAACCAGCGCCCCUCUUAACAUUACUCAAAACCCUAAAGCUUCAAAACCAACCCGCCUCCCUUUCGUCCCUCUCAACCCGCCUCCCUCUCUUUCUCUCUCCCUUUCGUCCCUCUCAACCCGCCUCCCUCUCUUUCUCUCUCACUUUCUCUCUCACUUUCGUCCCUCUCUUUGUCUCUCACUUUCGUCCGACGAUCUGCUUCAGUUCGCAUCAACCGCCGAUCGAAACUUCGACGCCAUGACCUUCAGUGAGCGAUCUUCAGCGUCGACGACACUAACACCAGCAACAACACUUCGAACAACUGACGAAUCUUCAGCGGACGAACGAAUCUUCAGAAUUCAGAUCUUGUUUGAAGACCUCGUUUUUUCAUUUCCGUGAAUUUUUCGAAGAUUUCCGUGAAUUUUUCGAAGAACUCAUUUUUUCAUCCUAAAAUCUCCAGAUGUGUUCGAAGUAUAACAACGAGAAGGAAGAUCAAGAUGUGAAGGAAGCUCCAACAUUUUUUUUAACUAUAUUGAUAGAUUUGUUUUUAUGAAUUAUUGUAAUAUAUAUGUUCUAAAAUUCGAAGCAUUUUCGUUUUUAUUUUUCCAGAUCUGGUCGAAUUUUUGUACAGUAUUGUUAUUAGUUUUAUUUGAUUUUCAAUCCUCUAUCUCUUA